AGAGUUUGAUCCUGGCUCAGGAAGAACGCUGGCGGCGCGCCUAACACAUGCAAGUCGAACGAGCGAGAGAGAGCUUGCUUUCUCGAGCGAGUGGCGAACGGGUGAGUAACGCGUGAGGAACCUGCCUCAAAGAGGGGGACAACAGUUGGAAACGACUGCUAAUACCGCAUAAGCCCACGGGUCGGCAUCGACCAGAGGGAAAAGGAGCAAUCCGCUUUGAGAUGGCCUCGCGUCCGAUUAGCUAGUUGGUGAGGUAACGGCCCACCAAGGCGACGAUCGGUAGCCGGACUGAGAGGUUGAACGGCCACAUUGGGACUGAGACACGGCCCAGACUCCUACGGGAGGCAGCAGUGGGGAAUAUUGCACAAUGGGGGAAACCCUGAUGCAGCGACGCCGCGUGGAGGAAGAAGGUCUUCGGAUUGUAAACUCCUGUUGUUGAGGAAGAUAAUGACGGUACUCAACAAGGAAGUGACGGCUAACUACGUGCCAGCGGCCGCGGUAAAACGUAGGUCACAAGCGUUGUCCGGAAUUACUGGGUGUAAAGGGAGCGCAGGCGGGAAGACAAGUUGGAAGUGAAAUCCAUGGGCUUAACCCAUGAACUGCUUUCAAAACUGUUUUUCUUGAGUAGUGCAGAGGUAGGCGGAAUUCCCGGUGUAGCGGUGGAAUGCGUAGAUAUCGUGAGGAACACCAGUGGCGAAGGCGGCCUACUGGGCACCAACUGACGCUGAGGCUCGAAAGUGUGGGUAGCAAACAGGAUUAGAUACCCUGGUAGUCCACACUGUAAACGAUGAUUACUAGGUGUUGGAGGAUUGACCCCUUCAGUGCCGCAGUUAACACAAUAAGUAAUCCACCUGGGGAGUACGACCGCAAGGUUGAAACUCAAAGGAAUUGACGGGGGCCCGCACAAGCAGUGGAGUAUGUGGUUUAAUUCGACGCAACGCGAAGAACCUUACCAAGUCUUGACAUCCGUUGACCGCUGUAGAAAUACAGUUUUCCUUCGGGACAGCGAGACAGGUGGUGCAUGGUUGUCGUCAGCUCGUGUCGUGAGAUGUUGGGUUAAGUCCCGCAACGAGCGCAACCCUUAUGGUCAGUUACUACGCAAGAGGACUCUGGCCAGACUGCCGUUGACAAAACGGAGGAAGGUGGGGAUGACGUCAAAUCAUCAUGCCCUUUAUGACUUGGGCUACACACGUACUACAAUGGCGUUAAACAAAGAGAAGCAAGACCGCGAGGUGGAGCAAAACUCAGAAACAACGUCCCAGUUCGGACUGCAGGCUGCAACUCGCCUGCACGAAGUCGGAAUUGCUAGUAAUCGUGGAUCAGCAUGCCACGGUGAAUACGUUCCCGGGCCUUGUACACACCGCCCGUCACACC
rnacentral:rRNA from 1 species